ACGCUGGCGGCGUGCUUAACACAUGCAAGUCGAACGCUGAAGCCCAGCUUGCUGGGUGGAUGAGUGGCGAACGGGUGAGUAACACGUGAGUAACCUGCCCCCUUCUUUGGGAUAACGCCCGGAAACGGGUGCUAAUACUGGAUAUUCACUGGCCUUCGCAUGGGGGUUGGUGGAAAGGUUUUUUCUGGUGGGGGAUGGGCUCGCGGCCUAUCAGCUUGUUGGUGGGGUGAUGGCCUACCAAGGCUUUGACGGGUAGCCGGCCUGAGAGGGUGACCGGUCACAUUGGGACUGAGAUACGGCCCAGACUCCUACGGGAGGCAGCAGUGGGGAAUAUUGCACAAUGGGCGAAAGCCUGAUGCAGCGACGCCGCGUGAGGGAUGACGGCCUUCGGGUUGUAAACCUCUUUCGCUCAUGGUCAAGCCGCAACAGUGGUUGUGGUGAGGGUAGUGGGUAAAGAAGCGCCGGCUAACUACGUGCCAGCAGCCGCGGUAAUACGUAGGGCGCGAGCGUUGUCCGGAAUUAUUGGGCGUAAAGGGCUUGUAGGCGGUUGGUCGCGUCUGCCGUGAAAUCCUCUGGCUUAACUGGGGGCGUGCGGUGGGUACGGGCUGACUUGAGUGCGGUAGGGGAGACUGGAACUCCUGGUGUAGCGGUGGAAUGCGCAGAUAUCAGGAAGAACACCGGUGGCGAAGGCGGGUCUCUGGGCCGUUACUGACGCUGAGGAGCGAAAGCGUGGGGAGCGAACAGGAUUAGAUACCCUGGUAGUCCACGCUGUAAACGUUGGGCACUAGGUGUGGGGGCCACCCGUGGUUUCUGCGCCGUAGCUAACGCUUUAAGUGCCCCGCCUGGGGAGUACGGCCGCAAGGCUAAAACUCAAAGGAAUUGACGGGGGCCCGCACAAGCGG
rnacentral:rRNA from 1 species